GAUUGUCACGUCAAGAAAGAAAGAAAAGGAACGAGUCGAGGGUGCAAAGCGGGAAGCGGUCGAUAAACCUCUGCAUCCGGCUCUCACAUAUUCCGCACUCCCAACGCCCAAUCUCCCUUCUCUUUCUUUUGUUGUUAGGGCUUCUUUUCUCGUCGCCUUCCUUUAAGCUCUAGUUUGGUGAUCUCGUCUUUCCAUGUCGAAAUAAAACAAGUUUGGGUUUGUCAAGCUGGAUCUAUCGGCUGGUUGACUGGUUACAAUUGCGGCGGGUUCGACAUCAGAUCAUCUAAGCACAUAAGCGAAAACUAUUAGGCUGAUAAGAUGCAAUUUUUGAUCUGGAUUUUGCGGAUUUGGUUAUAGAUACAACUCCGACAAUAUCGGAUCGGACAUAUCAAGUGGCGAAAGAUAGUUAUAAUUUAUAAGAAGGUGGAUGGUACGAAUGCUUGUGCGCAACAUAAUGUUAUGGGUAAGAUGUUUGCGGUGUGUGAUUACAGAUUCAAGAAGGUCAAGAAUGCGAUGGUAAAUUUCUAUCUAAUAUCAUGGUG
rnacentral:lncRNA from 1 species